rnacentral:lncRNA from 1 species
GCUAAUCCUAAUACAUUUGGCCCAAUAAAGGGCCCAAUUGUGUAAACCCUAGCCUAACUAGCAGAUAGCCUCAGAGGCCACCAUCGCCCCACGCCGCAACAGCACCCGCGCAUUGCGCACGUCGCCCUUGCACGUCGCGCAUGUUGCCCCGCACAACGCACGUCUUCCACUACUUCCAUACUUGCGAGAAAUUGAUCUAAACGGCAGCACAUGUAAAAAAAAUAACAGGAUAGAUAGAUUUUUUUUCAUUUUUUUGUAUAUCUCGGCUAUAAAAGGCCGAUUUUAAUUUGUAAAGGGGGUUAGACAAAUGAUAUAUUGAAAUAGAGAGAAAAUACAAAGGUAAAGAAUCAGAAAAGAAAAAUUUUGGAAGGUGAUUUUCUUCAUUUCUUUUAUUGCUUUCUCUGUUAUUUUUUCUUUUUUUUUGGGUGUGCAAAACAGAAAUAAGGAGGAGAAGAGAAGGUUCUUACUAGUGGUGGCGCGCCAUUGAUGCCCUUGCUGCGUUGCGUCCGAAUCGGAGUUGAAAAGGGGAGGAUUUCGGUGAGAAGCAGAAGAGAAAGAAGCAGUCCUUGCGACUGCUGUUGCUGAAAUUGGAAUGGGGUUUUGAUUUGGGUUUGAAAUGGAUUUUGUUGGCUGCAAAUGAAAUGGGGUUUUAUUAAUGGGCUAUUUACCUUUUUAAUCAUUUUCAUUUUUCCAUCAUUUCAAAAUUAUGAUUUUUGGUUUUUAAAUUUUGCUAUGAAAUAUUGAAAUUGUUUUAUUUUAAUCCCAUUUAAACGCAGUGCGU